GACGAACGCUGGCGGCGUGCUUAACACAUGCAAGUCGAACGGAAAGGCCCUGCUUGCAGGGUACUCGAGUGGCGAACGGGUGAGUAACACGUGGGUGAUCUGCCCUGCACUUCGGGAUAAGCCUGGGAAACUGGGUCUAAUACCGGAUAGGAGCCAUUUUUAGUGUGAUGGUUGGAAAGUUUUUUCGGUGUGGGAUGAGCUCGCGGCCUAUCAGCUUGUUGGUGGGGUAAUGGCCUACCAAGGCGGCGACGGGUAGCCGGCCUGAGAGGGUGGACGGCCACAUUGGGACUGAGAUACGGCCCAGACUCCUACGGGGGGCAGCAGUGGGGAAUAUUGGACAAUGGGCGCAAGCCUGAUGCAGCGACGCCGCGUGGGGGAUGACGGCCUUCGGGUUGUAAACCCGUUUCGCUAGGGACGAAGCUUUUUGUGACGGUACCUAGAUAAGAAGCACCGGCUAACUACGUG
rnacentral:rRNA from 1 species